rnacentral:rRNA from 1 species
AUUGAACGCUGGCGGCAGGCCUAACACAUGCAAGUCGAGCGAGAGGCGGACGGGUGAGUAAUGUAUGGGGACUGCCCGAUAGAGGGGGAUAACUACUGGAAACGGUAGAUAAUACCGCAUACUAUCGGAUAACCCAUAUGGGAUGAGCUAGUAGGUGAGAUAAUUGCUCAACUAGGCGACGAUCCCUAGCUGGUCUGAGAGGAUGAUCAGCCACACUGGGACAGAGACACGGCCCAGACUCCUGCGGAGGCAGCAGGGGGGAAUAUUGCACAAUGGGCGCACGCCUGAUGCAGCCAUGCCGCGUGUAUGAAGAAGGCCCGAGGUGUGUAAAUUACUUUCAGUCGGGAGACGUUACCCACAGAAGAAGCAGCGGCUAACUCCGUGCGAGCAGCCGCGGUAAA